rnacentral:tRNA from 1 species
GCCCAGGUGGCGGAAUUGGUAGACGCGCUGGUCUCAAACACCAGUUGGAUAACACCAGUACCGGUUCGACCCCGGUCCUGGGCA